AUUGAACGCUGGCGGCAUGCCUUACACAUGCAAGUCGAACGGCAGCACGGGUGCUUGCACCUGGUGGCGAGUGGCGAACGGGUGAGUAAUACAUCGGAACGUACCUUAUCGUGGGGGAUAACGCAGCGAAAGCUGUGCUAAUACCGCAUACGCCCGGAGGGGGAACGCGGGGGAUCGAAAGACCUCGCGCGAUUAGAGAGGCCGGUGCCUGAUUGGCCUGUUGGUGGGGUAAAAGCCCACCAAGGCGACGAUCAGUAGCUGGUCUGAGAGGACGAUCAGCCACACUGGGACUGAGACACGGCCCAGACUCCUACGGGAGGCAGCAGUGGGGAAUUUUGGACAAUGGGGGCAACCCUGAUCCAGCAAUGCCGCGUGAGUGAAGAAGGCCUUCGGGUUGUAAAGCUCUUUUGUCAGGGAAGAAACACCGGCUCUAACACAGUCCGGGAAUGACGGUACCUGAAGAAUAAGCACCGGCUAACUACGUGCCAGCAGCCGCUGUAA
rnacentral:rRNA from 1 species